UACGUGGCCUCUCUACUCCAAAUUUUAUGUUUUUCCUUUAAAUUAUUGGCUUCCAUAUAAAAUUAAAAAAAGAGUUCUUGAAUUUUUAGACGGUCGGUUUAGUGGAUACGGCGAAGGCGAUUUUUUAAGAGAAGUUGUUGAGGCCUUUCAAACGUUAUCUUCUUUUUUAGCCGAAAAGAAGUUUUUCU